CAGUCGCCGCGGGAAUACGGAGGGUGCAAGCGUUAAUCGGAAUUACUGGGCGUAAAGCGCACGCAGGCGGUCUGACAAGUCAGAUGUGAAAUCCCCGGGCUCAACCUGGGAACUGCAUUUGUGACUGUAUAGCUAGAGUACGGCAGAGGGGGAUGGAAUUCCGCGUGUAGCAGUGAAAUGCGUAGAUAUGCGGAGGAACACCGAUGGCGAAGGCAAUCCCCUGGGCCUGUACUGACGCUCAUGCACGAAAGCGUGGGGAGCAAACAGGAUUAGAUACCCCCGUAGUCCCUGUCUCUUAUAC
rnacentral:rRNA from 1 species